rnacentral:lncRNA from 1 species
AGUCAGACCUCAUAACAGGUGGUUGUGAGCCACCAUGUGGUUUCUAGGAUUUGAACUCAGGACCUUUGGAAGAGCAGUCCCACUGAGUCCAUCUGAAAUUCCAGCUUAGACAGGCUGACUCUAAAAUUCAUAUGGAAAUUUCAAAACUUACUACUGUGCUAAACUAAUUUAUUAAAGAUUUAUUUUCCUUUAUGCAUAUGGGUAUUUUUCUUUCAUGCAUAGAUGUGUGUGUACCACAUUCAUGUCUGCUGUCACGAAUCCUCUGGAACUGGAGUUAGUUGUGAGCUGCCAUGUGGGUGCUGGGAAUUGAACCCAGUGCUCCUAACUGAUGAGCCACGUCUCCAGCCCCUACAGUGCUACCUACUGUGUUAAGGUUGGUACAGGAGUGAGAAGCUAUGAUGGCCCAUAAGCGUUCACUGAGAACAGAUAGUCCUUUAACAAAUGGUGCUGAGUCAAGCAGACAUCCACGUGGAAUAAGAUGGACUUGGAUCCUUACCUUCCACCUCAUUCAAAAAAAAAAAAAAAUCAUAUGCGAAAGACAUAGAUGUUAGCCAUGAAACUGUGGACAGUUAGAAGGAAACUUAAUCGCAAAUUCGUGUAGUUUCAGAUUUGACAUCAAAGGAACCAAAGUGAAACUAGGUGAGUUAGACAUCGUCAAAAUUUAAUUUCUUGUUUGUUUUCCAAGACAAGCCCUUGCUGUCCUGGAACUCUGUGUGCAGACCAGCCUGUCUUCAAACUCAGGUAUCCUCCUACCUCUGGGAUUAAAGGUGCAACAAACACCACAUCCAGCAAAUCUUUU